rnacentral:tRNA from 1 species
GCCUUGGUGGUGAAAUGGUAGACACGCGAGACUCAAAAUCUCGUGCUAAAGAGCGUUGAGUUUCUCGACCCUUUGCC